UUGUUAAUAAUUUAAAGUCUAACCUGCCCAAUGAUUAAAAUUUAAUGGCCGCAGUAUUUUGACUGUGCAAAGGUAGCAUAAUCAUUAGUUUCUUAAUUAGGGACUGGAAUGAAUGGUUGGAUGAGAAAAAAACUGUCUUUAUUUAAUUUUAUUAGAAUUUUAUUUUUAAGUAAAAAAGCUUAAAUUUUUUUUAAAGACGAGAAGACCCUAUAGAGUUUAAUAUAAUAUUAAAUUUUUAUUUUUAGGAAUUUAAAUAUAGAUAUUUAAUAUUUAUAUUUAAUUGGGGUGAUUAAGAAAUUAAGUUAACUUUCUUAUAUUUUUAUCAUUGAUUUAUGAUUUAAUUGAUCCAAGUUUUUUGAUUAUAAGAUUAAAUUACCUUAGGGAUAACAGCGUAAUUUUUUUGGAGAGUUCUAAUCGAUAAAAAAGUUUGCGACCUCGAUGUUGGAUUAAAAUUUAGGAUUGGUGCAGUAGCUAAUCUUUUAGGUCUGUUCGACCUUUAAAAUUUUACAUGAUCUGAGUUUAAACCGGUGUGAGCCAGGUUGGUUUCUAUCUUGAAUUUAUUAUAAUAUUUUAGUACGAAAGGACCAAUUAUUAGUAAUAUUUAUUUAUUUUGAAUAGUAUUGUUACUUUGGCAGAUUAGUGCAUUAAAUUUAGAAUUUAAUUAUGUAUUUUUAUACAGGUAAUACUUGAUUUUAAAGGAUUAUUUUUUAAUAUUUUUAAGAGGUUUAAUUUUAGUUAUUUUUGUUUUAGUAGGUGUA
rnacentral:rRNA from 1 species